rnacentral:rRNA from 1 species
CUUGGUCAUUUAGAGGAAGUAAAAGUCGUAACAAGGUCUCCGUUGGUGAACCAGCGGAGGGAUCAUUAUCGAGUUAUUCAACUCCCAAACCCUAUGUGAACUUACCACUUGUUGCUUCGGCGCGCGCUUCGGCGCCGCCGAGGACACUUAAACUCUUUGUUUUUAUAAGCAUUUCUGAGUGGCCGAAAGGCAAAAAUACAAAUGAAUCAAAACUUUCAACAACGGAUCUCUUGGUUCUGGCAUCGAUGAAGAACGCAGCGAAAUGCGAUAAGUAAUGUGAAUUGCAGAAUUCAGUGAAUCAUCGAAUCUUUGAACGCACAUUGCGCCCGCCAGCAUUCUGGCGGGCAUGCCUGUUCGAGCGUCAUUUCAACCCUCGAGCCCGACUCUUUUGAGGACGGCUCGGCGUUGGGGGACGGCAGACUCCCCCCGGCAUCUCGCCGGGGACGCCGCCCCCGAAAUCUAGUGGCGGCCCUCCGAGGCGACCUCUGCGUAGUAACUUGUUCUCGCACCGGAAAGCUCAGAGCGGCCACGCCGUAAAACCCCAACUUUUUUCAGGUUGACCUCGAAUCAGGUAGGACUA